rnacentral:rRNA from 1 species
AUUGAACGCUGGCGGCAGGCCUAACACAUGCAAGUCGAGCGGAUGACGGGAGCUUGCUCCUUGAUUCAGCGGCGGACGGGUGAGUAUGCCUAGGAAUCUGCCUGGUAGUGGGGGGCAACGUUUCGAAAGGAACGCUAAUACCGUAUACGUCCUACGGGAGAAAGCAGGGGACCUUCGGGCCUUGCGCUAUCAGAUGAGCCUAGGUCGGAUUAGCUAGUAGGUGAGGUAAUGGCUCACCUAGGCGACGAUCCGUAACUGGUCUGAGAGGAUGAUCAGUCACCCUGGAACUGGGACACGGGCCAGACUCCUACGGGGGGCAGCAGGGGGGAAUAUUGGACAAUGGGCGAAGGCCUGAUCCAGCCAUGCCGCGUGUGUGAAGAAGGUCUUCGGAUUGUAAAGCACUUUAAGUUGGGAGGAAGGGAAGUAAGUUAAUACCUUGCUGUUUUGCCGUUACCGACAGAAUAAGCACCGGCUAACUCUGUGCCAGCCGCCGCGGUAA